GUUAGGGUUAGGGUUAGCUCUGUAAAGUUGGUCAUUGGGUUAGGGUUAGGGUUAGGGUUAGCUCUGUAAAGUUGGUCGUUGGGUUAGGGUUAGGGUUAGGGUUAGCUCUGUAAAGUUGGUCGUUGGGUUAGGGUUAGGGUUAGGGUUAGCUCUGUAAAGUUGGUCGUUGGGUUAGGGUUAGGGUUAGGGUUAGGGUUAGCUCUGUAAAGUUGGUCGUUGGGUUAGGGUUAGGGUUAGGGUUAGCUCUGUAAAGUUGGUCGUUGGGUUAGGGUUAGGGUUAGGGUUAGCUCUGUAAAGUUGGUCGUUGGGUUAGGGUUAGGGUUAGG
rnacentral:lncRNA from 1 species